AACGUAGGAGACAAACGUUAUCCGGAGUUACUGGGCGUAAAGGGCGUGUAGGUGGUUGCGUAAGUCUGGCGUGAAAUAUCUCGGCUUAACCGAGGCAGGUCGUCGGAUACUGCGUAACUGGAGGACGGUAGAGGCGUGUGGAAUUUCGGGUGUAGUGGUGAAAUGCGUAGAGAUCCGGAGGAACACCAGUGGCGAAGGCGACACGCUGGGCCGUACCUGACACUGAUGCGCGACAGCAUGGGGAGCAAACAGG
rnacentral:rRNA from 1 species